UGGGGGGAGGAUUAAAAAGUAACAAGGUUUCCGUAGGUGAACCUGCGGAAGGAUCAUUACAGUAUUCUUUUUGCCAGCGCUUAAUUGCGCGGCGAAAAAACCUUACACACAGUGUUUUUUGUUAUUACAAGAACUCUUGCUUUGGUCUGGACUAGAAAUAGUUUGGGCCAGAGGUUUACUAAACUAAACUUCAAUAUUUAUAUUGAAUUGUUAUUUAUUUUAAUUGUCAAUUUGUUGAUUAAAUUCAAAAAAUCUUCAAAACUUUCAACAACGGAUCUCUUGGUUCUCGCAUCGAUGAAGAACGCAGCGAAAUGCGAUAAGUAAUAUGAAUUGCAGAUUUUCGUGAAUCAUCGAAUCUUUGAACGCACAUUGCGCCCUUUGGUAUUCCAAAGGGCAUGCCUGUUUGAGCGUCAUUUCUCUCUCAAACCUUCGGGUUUGGUAUUGAGUGAUACUCUUAGUCGAACUAGGCGUUUGCUUGAAAUGUAUUGGCAUGAGUGGUACUGGAUAGUGCUAUAUGACUUUCAAUGUAUUAGGUUUAUCCAACUCGUUGAAUAGUUUAAUGGUAUAUUUCUCGGUAUUCUAGGCUCGGCCUUACAAUAUAACAAACAAGUUUGACCUCAAAUCAGGUAGGACUACCCGCUGAACUUAAGCAUAUCAAAACCGCGGGGGGAA
rnacentral:rRNA from 1 species